UUACACACGGGACUCUUCCUUCUUGGCCAGGGUUGUGGACAUUGUUCAGGAACUGAAACAACAGAAUCAACAUCUGGUAUAUGUCUGUGACCCUGUCCUCGGAGAUAAAUGGAAUGGGGAGGGAUCUAUGUACGUCCCAGAGGAACUUCUUCCCGUCUAUAAAGAAUUGGUCGUCCCUGUCGCUGAUAUCAUCACCCCAAACCAGUUUGAGGCUGAGU